CUUGGUCAUUUAGAGGAGUAAAAGUCGUAACAAGGUUUCCGUAGGUGAACCUGCGGAAGGAUCAUUCAUAAUAAGUGUUUUACUGCACUUUUUAAAAAUCAGUAUUCACCUUGUGUGCAAUGUUUGCUGACGAGUUCGCGUUUUUUACGCGUUCUUGGCAGCAUAAUACCAACCCUUUAUUGAAAUUUUUUGUCUGAAGAUUUUUGAAUACAUAAUUCGAAAUACAACUUUUAACAACGGAUCUCUUGGCUCUCGCAUCGAUGAAGAACGCAGCGAAAUGCGAUACGUAAUGUGAACUGCAGAAUUCAGUGAAUCAUCGAAUCUUUGAACGCACCUUGCGCCCCCUGGUAUUCCGAGGGGCACACCCGUUUGAGUGUCGUGAAAACCUCAACCUCCUUGGUUUCUUCUGGAGACCAAAGCAGGCUUGGACUUUGGAGGCCUUUGCUGGCACCUCUCGCCAGCUCCUCUUAAAUGAAUUAGCAGGGUCCUCUUUGCUGAUCCUCGACGUGUGAUAAGAUGUUUCCAUGUCUUGGUUUCUGGCUCUGUCACCUUUGGGACCCGCUUCUAACCGUCUUCAACCUUGCGUUGAGACAACGUUCGAGCAUGUCUCCCUUCUCGGGAAGCUCCCUCGACCCCACGAACCCUUGACCUCAAAUCGGGUGAGACUACCCGCUGAACUUAAGCAUAUCAAUAAGCGGAGGAA
rnacentral:rRNA from 1 species